UGGGCAACCUGCCCUCAGCUCUGGGACAAACUACCGGGAAACCGGGCUAAUACCGGAUACGACCUUCCCUCGCAUGGGGGUUGGUGGAAAGUUCUUCGGCUGAGGAUGGGCCCGCGGCCUAUCAGCUUGUUAGUGGGGUGAUGGCCUACCAAGGCGACGACGGGUAGCCGGCCUGAGAGGGCGACCGGCCACACGU
rnacentral:rRNA from 1 species